rnacentral:other from 1 species
GAUGCGAUAAAAAGUAAACAGGAUGUUUACUGGUCAGGAUGACACUAGGAUAACUUCAGGAUGAAGUAGGGAACACCUCUAGGAUUGAGGCAUAAAGGAUCACUUCAGGAUGAAGUAAAGGACACCUCCAGGAAGGAGAGGAGAGUCAGAACAGGAUGUGAUGACGGGUUAGGAUGACCACAGGAACAACUUCAGGAUGAAGUAUAAAGGACAAUGCUGACGGAACACAGCAGUCAACGGAUGGAUGCAGGGAGCAACAUAGUAGCGGGAUAGCUGCAAGCAAGACCUC